GACGAACGCUGGCGGCGUGCUUAACACAUGCAAGUCGAACGGAAAGGCCUGCUUUCCCUUGUGGAUUGCGGGUACUCGUGUGUCGAACGGGUGAGUACCACGUGUGUCAUCUGCCUCCAACUUGGGUAUAAUCCUGGGUAACUGGGUCUAAUUCCCGUUAGGUCUGCAGGGUGGUGCCUGUGGUUUAGAAGGAGUUUCUAGUGGUUGGGGAUGAGCUUGCGGCCGAUCAGAUUGUCGGUGGGGUAAUGGCCUACCAAGGGGGCGACGGGUAGCCGAGCUGAGAGGGUGGGCGGCCACAUUGGACCGGAGAUACGGCCCAGACUACUACGGGAGGCAGCAGAGGGGAAUGUAGCAUAAGGGGCGGAAGGCUAAUGCAGCGACGCAGCGUGGGGGAUGGCGGCCUUCGGGUUGUGAACUCCUUCCGUUCGAGAGGAAGCCACGUGGUUGGAAGGGUGGUGACGGUAGUGGUAGAAGAAGCACCGGCUAACUACGUG
rnacentral:rRNA from 1 species